UCCAGUCCAUACAGGUAGUCCUCACUUAGUGACUGCUCGGAACAUACAACCAGCUCUCUAGUGCGGGGAACCCCUCGAAUCGGAGUCUCACAAAUUCCCCCAAACAUAUAUUCGAGGGAUUCCCCCUGUAAGAGAGCUGGCCUAUGUUGGGAGAAUUUCCCCUGAACACAUAUUUGACGGACUCCCUCUAACAUAGACCUGCUCCUUAGCGCAUACAAGUCUUGGUUGUCCCGCUGGUGUGAGGCAUCCUCGCUUACGGACCAAUGCGUCUUACGACCGAGUCAUAGGAACGGAACGUGAUUGGUAAGUGAGAAGUGUGUAUUAUCAUGCCAUUAUGAA